rnacentral:misc_RNA from 1 species
AGGUUCGUCUCCUCCACCUAUUUCAGUGCAAGGUGCGGGCAGUGGUUCGAACUAUGCUGGCGGGAAUAUGGGAUAUGGAAAUGGUGAUAAUGGUUUCAGUUUGGGGCCUAUCAGUGUUGGGAGGAACAGUGGAAAUGGCUCUAUGCAUACUUCGCUUACUCCAUCUAGCAAUGGAUAUGAGGGAAAGUAUACAGAUAUAUUUGGUGGCAGUUCAAUUUAUGAUAGGACUUGGCAGUCUGCAUCACCUGAUCUUGAUGGGCCUGGUCCGUUUGGGUACAGGCUCGAAAAUUCGGCUUCAGAUGCUGCAGCCAAGGCUUCAGCUAGUUAUAUGGGGGGUUACAAUGUUACCAAUCAGACAAUUAGAGGUGUGGCUACCUAGGGAGGAUAUUCUUUGAGCGCAAUAUAGAUGAAGAAUCCAGAGAAACAGCUGUGAAUUUCAUAUAUCUCGUCGUUGAUACAUAAUGGUUAGUAAAAUUAUUUAGAGCUAACCAGAGAGUUGGUUUAAGACAUUGAAAUCCAAAGAAGUGAUAUAUAUAUAGGAUUUUGCGUAAGGGUUUGGUAUUCGAGAUUAGUUUCUACAUUUGAGUUUAGUAGAUUUUGUUUCUCGGGGUUUCGAUUGAGAUGUAAAACUAGUUUGCGGGAUAUAUUCAGAAGAGUGUAAG